CCUACGGGAGGCAGCAGUAGGGAAUCUUCCACAAUGGGCGAAAGCCUGAUGGAGCAACGCCGCGUGGGUGAAGAAGGUCUUCGGAUCGUAAAACCCUGUUGUUAGAGAAGAAAGUGCGUGAGAGUAACUGUUCACGUUUCGACGGUAUCUACCCAGAAAGCCACGGCUAACUACGUGCCAGCAGCCGCGGUAAUACGUAGGUGGCAAGCGUUAUCCGGAUUUAUUGGGCGUAAAGGGAACGCAGGCGGUCUUUUAAGUCUGAUGUGAAAGCCUUCGGCUUAACCGGAGUAGUGCAUUGGAAACUGGGAGACUGGAGUGCAGAAGAGGAGAGUGGAACUCCAUGGGUAGCGGUGAAAUGCGUAGAUAUAUGGAAGAACACCAGUGGCGAAAGCGGCUCUCUGGUCUGUAACUGACGCUGAGGUUCGAAAGCGUGGGUAGCAAACAGGAUUAGAUACCCUUGUAGUC
rnacentral:rRNA from 1 species